AAUAUUCAUUCAGAUGUUUUCUGACUCUAAAUAGUCUUUUCUCAUUUUUUAGGUUUUUCUAAUUUACAUUUAAAACAUUUUAGCUAUUUUCCAACUUCUUCUCUGUGCUUGUCAGCUUUUAGCAGUUCAGCACUUUUGUUUUCAGGUGAAAAUUUCUGUAUUUUUCAUCUCAUUCAACAUUUUUAACUUAAAAUUCAGCAAUUAAUUCUUUUCAGUGCAUAUAUUCAGAUUCAAGCAUUCACACUGCAGUUUCUUCAGAAAAUGCACUUUCUAGUUAUAUUUUAUAUAUUCCGUACGUUUUUUGUACUGUAUCUCCUUCAAAACCGUUCAACUUAGAAAAACCAUUCAAACACCAUUAGAUUCCUCUUCUUUUGGACAUGACUGCUUCUAUUUUUCUCAUUUUUAACAUUUAUAUUUUUAAUUUUAUUUAACUUUUUUCAACAAAAAUUCCCAUGUAUUUCAAUGGGAGACCCUUCAAAUCCUCAUUCAACUUACUCAUUUUUAAACUGUAUCUACUUCCACAUACAUUGACAUAGAGCCACCAUUCAAACUUUAAAACGAAGACAAAACAUUCAACUAUUCAGUUGUAUUUAUCUUUUCAAUAUCUCUUAUACUUUUUCUUCAGUUCCAGUUUAAGUUUCAUGAUGUUUUUUCACCCAUUUCAGAGUUUAUAAUGGGUGUGUA
rnacentral:lncRNA from 1 species